rnacentral:rRNA from 1 species
GGCGAUCAGAUACCGCCCUAGUUCUGACCGUAAACGAUGCCAACUAGCGAUCUGUCGGUGUGGUGUAUUCGACCUGAUAGGGAGCUUCCCGGAAACGAAAGUCUUCGGGUUCCGGGGGAAGUAUGGUUGCAAAGCUGAAACUUAAAGGAAUUGACGGAAGGGCACCACCAGGAGUGGAGCCUGCGGCUUAAUUUGACUCAACACGGGAAACCUCACCCGGGCCGGACACCGUAAGGAUUGACAAAUUGACAGCUUUUUCAUGAUUCGGUGGUUGGUGGUGCAUGCCCGUUCUUAGUUCGUGGAGCGAUUUGUCUGGUUUAUUCCGAUAACGAGCGAGACUCUAGCCUACUAAAUAGUUGGCACAUUCCAUUGUGUGUCCUAACUUCUUAGAGGGAUUUACGGCGUUUACCCGCAAGAGAAUGAGCAAUAACAGGUCUGUGAUGCCCUUAUAUGUCCGGGGCUGCACGCGCGCUACACUGGUGAAAUCAACGUGUCUAUCCUGCGUCGAAAGGCGUUCGGGUAAACCAUUGAAAAUUCGCCGUGAUUGGGAUCGGAGAUUGAAAUUAUUUUCCGUGAACGAGGAAUUCCAAGUAGGUGCGAGUCAUCAACUCGCGUUGAUUACGUCCCUGCCCUUUGUA